rnacentral:rRNA from 1 species
UACACUCCUGCGGGAGGCAGCAGUGGGGAAUUUUGGACAAUGGGCGAAAGCCUGAUCCAGCAAUGCCGCGUGAGUGAAGAAGGCCUUCGGGUUGUAAAGCUCUUUUGUCAGGGAAGAAACGGUGAAAGCUAAUAUCUUUUGCUAAUGACGGUACCUGAAGAAUAAGCACCGGCUAACUACGUGCCAGCAGCCGCGGUAAUACGUAGGGUGCAAGCGUUAAUCGGAAUUACUGGGCGUAAAGCGUGCGCAGGCGGUUUUGUAAGUCUGAUGUGAAAUCCCCGGGCUCAACCUGGGAAUUGCAUUGGAGACUGCAAGGCUAGAAUCUGGCAGAGGGGGGUAGAAUUCCACGUGUAGCAGUGAAAUGCGUAGAUAUGUGGAGGAACACCGAUGGCGAAGGCAGCCCCCUGGGUCAAGAUUGACGCUCAUGCACGAAAGCGUGGGGAGCAAACAGGAUUAGAAACCCCAGUAGUCCCAUG